AAGCGCUUGCAACCAGACUUCGUGGCGGUGUUCCGCCGGUCUUCUGACCGGUCUACUCGCCGCCGCGAGGCCAACAUCAUCUGGGCCCGCCGGACAAGACCUCAGGAAUGUAGCUCACCUUCGGGGGAGUGUUAUAGCCUGUGGUGAUGCGGCGCGGCCCGGGUGAGGUCCGCACUUCGGUAAGGAUGUUGGCGUAAUGGUUGUCAGCGG
rnacentral:rRNA from 1 species